rnacentral:misc_RNA from 1 species
GCUAUUUUAUUUUAUUUUUUAUUUAUAUUUUUUUAGUCAUGUAAAUUAAUUAAUGAGCCUAUAUUAACUUAGAGAUUUUGCAUGUUUAGGAUCCUUUUUUUCUUUUAUGUAUGUAUUUUCGAUUGAAAUACUUAGGACUUUUUUUCUUUUGUAUGUUAUAACAUGUAAAAUGAUUUGGCAUGUAAUUAGAUUAGUUAAAUAUACAUGUAAUAAAUAAGUUAAUUCUUUUAACUUAGAAAGAUUACAUGCAUGAUAGGACUUUCGAUGUGCAUAUGUACCUACUUGUUGUUUAUUUAUUUAUUUAUUUUGAAUGGUUAAAUUUAAAUGUGU